rnacentral:piRNA from 1 species
UACAGAAAGAUUUGGUCUCCAAGGAUUUGGU